GACGAACGCUGGCGGCGUGCUUAACACAUGCAAGUCGAACGGAAAGGCCCUGCUUUUGUGGGGUGCUCGAGUGGCGAACGGGUGAGUAACACGUGAGUAACCUGCCCUUGACUUUGGGAUAACUUCAGGAAACUGGGGCUAAUACCGGAUAGGAGCUCCUGCUGCAUGGUGGGGGUUGGAAAGUUUCGGCGGUUGGGGAUGGACUCGCGGCUUAUCAGCUUGUUGGUGGGGUAGUGGCUUACCAAGGCUUUGACGGGUAGCCGGCCUGAGAGGGUGACCGGCCACAUUGGGACGGAGAUACGGCCCAGACUCCUACGGGAGGCAGCAGUGGGGAAUAUUGCACAAUGGGCGGAAGCCUGAUGCAGCAACGCCGCGUGCGGGAUGACGGCCUUCGGGUUGUAAACCGCUUUCGCCUGUGACGAAGCGUGAGUGACGGUAAUGGGUAAAGAAGCACCAGCUAACUACGUG
rnacentral:rRNA from 1 species